rnacentral:rRNA from 1 species
AGUGAACGCUGGCGGCGUGCUUAAUACAUGCAAGUCGAACGAUGAAGUCCUAGCUUGCUAGGAUGGAUUAGUGGCGCACGGGUGAGUAAUAUAUAGUUAAUCUGCCUUGCACUGAGGAACAACAGUUGGAAACGAUUGCUAAUACCUCAUACUCCAACUUUACAUAAGUUAAGUUGGGAAAGUCUUUUCGGUGCAAGAUGAGACUAUAUCGUAUCAGCUAGUAGGUAAGGUAAUGGCUUACCAAGGCUAUGACGCGUAACUGGUCUGAGAGGAUGAUCAGUCACAUUGGAACUGAGACACGGUCCAAACUCCUACGGGAGGCAGCAGUAAGGAAUAUUGUGCAAUGGGGGAAACCCUGACGCAGCAACGCCGCGUGGAGGAUGACACUUUUCGGAGCGUAAACUCCUUUUGUUAGGGAAGAAUAAUGACGGUACCUAACGAAUAAGCACCGGCUAACUCCGUG